rnacentral:tRNA from 1 species
UCCCUGGCAGUUCAGUUGCUAGGACUUCAGCACUUUCACUGCCAAGGACUCGGGUUCAAUUCCUGGUCAGGGAA